rnacentral:rRNA from 1 species
GGUUGAUCCUGCCAGUAGUCAUAUGCUUGUCUCAAAGAUUAAGCCAUGCAUGUCUAAGUAUAAGCUUGUUUAUACGGCGAGACUGCGGAUGGCUCAUUAAAUCAGUUAUAGUUUAUUUGAUGGUCUCUUUUGUCUUUUUUUACCUACUUGGAUAACCGUGGUAAUUCUAGAGCUAAUACAUGCGCAAGGUCCCGAGCGCGGGGGGCGGGGCUUCGCGGCCUCGUCCUCGCAUGCGCAGAGGGAUGUAUUUAUUAGGUUAAAAACCAGCACGCUGGCGACAGCGUCCAAUUCA